ACUUCGGUACAUCGGUGACAGGUGGUGCAUGGUUGUCGUCAGCUCGUGUCGUGAGAUGUUGGGUUAAGUCCCGCAACGAGCGCAACCCCUAUUGUUAGUUGCCAUCAUUCAGUUGGGCACUCUAGCGAGACUGCCGGUAAUAAACCGGAGGAAGGUGGGGAUGACGUCAAAUCAUCAUGCCCCUUAUGACCUGGGCUUCACGCAUGCUACAAUGGCCGGUACAAAGGGCUGCGAUACCGCGAGGUGGAGCGAAUCCCAGAAAGCCGGUCUCAGUUCGGAUUGGGGUCUGCAACUCGACCCCAUGAAGUCGGAGUCGCUAGUAAUCGCAGAUCAGCAACGCUCGCGGUUCCGAAUACGUUCCGGCCUU
rnacentral:rRNA from 1 species